rnacentral:lncRNA from 1 species
CCUUCAGAUUGGAAGUAUCCUCCUAUGUGACCUGGAUUACCAAAAGGAAAAUCUUUAUGUAAAUCUAGCCCCUCUAAGCAUAUCUGUGUCAAAAUUGACAACAACGUUGAUAUUACAAUUUAAAUAUACUAAGCACUAGCUCUAUAUAAAUCAUCUUCGAUCACCAUAAACUUUCCCCCAAAACGAACUAGCUAGCUCCCAUAGCGAAGCUCCAUAAUUAGAAAAACCUUCUGAAAUUAAGUUCAGAAGUUUCAUCCAAGUGUGUCUGCAGUGCAGAUAGCGAGCUACAAAUUAAACAUGAGUGGAGGUUACUAUUCUUCUUCUAAUUCCCAGCAUGAUCAUCAUCACCACCCUACUUUCCCUCUGCACUUAUGUUUCUUCCUUCUUGUAUUGCUCACGUUUGUUGGGUUUUCAUGGUACAUUAACUACGAGUCUGUGCUGGAGAGCAUGUUUGAUCAGGUGAAACUGGUGCUCAUGGUGUCUCCCUUGCUGUUGUUACUAGUGGUGCACUGGCUUUCCAACGAUGACCGGAGGCGGGUGCACUCUCUCAUACCCUUACCUGAAAAAGACUCCCUUCAUAGGGCUGGAGGAACUCCAUGGGGAGUUGGAUUUCUGCUUGUUUUCCUGUUUUUUAUGAUUUCUUACCAGUCUUACUUUCAAGAACGUUGGUUUCCUCUUCUAAGCAGAUAGCACCACUUCUACGUAAUCUACUUUUCUGUUGUUAUUAUAUGUGUAAACCAGGUUUCUGCAGCAGCAGGAGAGUUCUAGAACUUCUGAAAUGGCAUCUUCUUUUUCCCAUAUUGUAGUGAAGUUGAAUUAUAUACAAACGGAGUUGUUAUAGUUUUAUUAAUUUGCCAUCUUAUAUUGUGCAAUAUUAUAUGUAAAAAAU